UGGGGAAUAUUGGACAAUGGGGGGAACCCUGAUCCAGCCAUGCCGCGUGUGUGAAGAAGGCCUUAUGGUUGUAAAGCACUUUAAGCGAGGAGGAGGCUCUCUUGGUUAAUACCCAAGAAGAGUGGACGUUACUCGCAGAAUAAGCACCGGCUAACUCUGUGCCAGCAGCCGCGGUAAUACAGAGGGUGCGAGCGUUAAUCGGAUUUACUGGGCGUAAAGCGUGCGUAGGCGGCUUUUUAAGUCGGAUGUGAAAUCCCCGGGCUUAACUUGGGAAUUGCAUUCGAUACUGGGAAGCUAGAGUAUGGGAGAGGAUGGUAGAAUUCCAGGUGUAGCGGUGAAAUGCGUAGAGAUCUGGAGGAAUACCGAUGGCGAAGGCAGCCAUCUGGCCUAAUACUGACGCUGAGGUACGAAGGCAUGGGGAGCAAACAGG
rnacentral:rRNA from 1 species